AAAUAGCCUUAAUUUUUGUUAGUCUUUCACACGUCUUGAAACAUAGCACUCCUAGGAAAUUGCAGAAACUUUAACGUCUUCCAUAGAACUGCUGGAACGUCCAACUGAUAGGCCUGGGCGAAGACUAUUUAGAAUUCAAACUGUUGUGUGUGUGGGUAGUUGUGGUCUCCGAUGACCGAUUGGACAUACAGACACACAUAAAAGACAUACAUUUGCCGUUGCAAUCGGAGAGAGAUAGUACUUAUAUCGAAUAUUGAAGGUGCAAAGCUGCUGCCCGUGACCUUUCACCUGUAAUGAAAGCUGUAGAUUGCCUCCUCAUCAGCGCCCUUUCGUGCCUACUCCUCACACCGUCUACAGGAUUCACUACAGGCUUGCUUGACAUGAUGCAUCCCCAACAGAAGAGGUCGUCCUUCCUGAACCUAGCGUUCUAUCAGAUAUAUGACCUUUGUGAUUCCGACCGAAAUGGCCACUUCACGGCGAAUGAAUUCAAGUGUGUCGAUGACCUUGUUCACAUCUACUUCGGCAGAAGGUGAUGCGACUCCCCAGCAACGUCCACACACCAUAUGGAUCUGGACCAGACUGGUCCACGGGGUGCGUCGAGGGAUGACACGAUGUUAACGUUAUUCUAACUAUGGUUCUACAUCAUUUUCUGUACUUCCGUCAUGAAUAAAACGUCCCAAUACAG